CUAGAUUUUGAAAGCUACCUGAUAUGCCUCACUUGUACAAAUUGCUGUGUUGAGCUUUGGAUUAGGUCAGACCCAGCAACCAAAGACUAUGUUGUUGUGUCUGGCGCUACCAAAAAGCGUGUUGAAGAAGAUGAUGGUCAGGUUUUCUCUUUGAUGAUGAUUGAUCCUGACUAGGACAAGCAAGAUCGGAGGCGGAUAACAAACAAAUUCUAGCAGUUCCCUCUGAAGUUGUAUCUGUUCUUGCUAUGGGGUUGCGUUGAAAGCUUUGGUUGGAAAGUUUUUUCAACAGAGAUGGUCACUAGA